rnacentral:rRNA from 1 species
GCAGGCUUAACACAUGCAAGUCGAGCGGAGAGAGGUAGCUUGCUACUGAUCUUAGCGGCGGACGGGUGAGUAAUGCUUAGGAAUCUGCCUAUUAGUGGGGGACAACAUUUCGAAAGGAAUGCUAAUACCGCAUACGUCCUACGGGAGAAAGCAGGGGAUCUUCGGACCUUGCGCUAAUAGAUGAGCCUAAGUCGGAUUAGCUAGUUGGUGGGGUAAAGGCCUACCAAGGCGACGAUCUGUAGCGGGUCUGAGAGGAUGAUCCGCCACACUGGGACUGAGACACGGCCCAGACUCCUACGGGAGGCAGCAGUGGGGAAUAUUGGACAAUGGGCGCAAGCCUGAUCCAGCCAUGCCGCGUGUGUGAAGAAGGCCUUAUGGUUGUAAAGCACUUUAAGCGAGGAGGAGGCUACUUUAGAUAAUACCUAGAGAUAGUGGACGUUACUCGCAGAAUAAGCACCGGCUAACUCUGUGCCAGCAGCCGCGGUAAUACAGAGGGUGCAAGCGUUAAUCGGAUUUACUGGGCGUAAAGCGCGCGUAGGCGGCUAAUUAAGUCAAAUGUGAAAUCCCCGAGCUUAACUUGGGAAUUGCAUUCGAUACUGGUUAGCUAGAGUGUGGGAGAGGAUGGUAGAAUUCCAGGUGUAGCGGUGAAAUGCGUAGAGAUCUGGAGGAAUACCGAUGGCGAAGGCAGCCAUCUGGCCUAACACUGACGCUGAGGUGCGAAAGCAUGGGGAGCAAACAGGAUUAGAUACCCUGGUAGUCCAU